rnacentral:lncRNA from 1 species
CUUUAAAUCAUCCCUUUAGGAUUUAAAUCUCUCUUCUCUUUCUUCUUCGUUGGGGCGGUUCGAGCUUAUCCUAGCUUCAAACCUUCUUUUCCAAACUGACCAUUUAUCUCCCCAAAAUCUUUGCUUUUCCUUAAAAUCCCUUCCACUCUACCCCUCAUCAAAUCUCCCAAGUUGUUUGCAAGUCUCUCCUGUCCAAAAUGGCUCCC